rnacentral:rRNA from 1 species
AACGAACGCUGGCGGCAUGCCUAACACAUGCAAGUCGAACGAAGGCUUCGGCCUUAGUGGCGCACGGGUGCGUAACGCGUGGGAAUCUGCCCUUAGGUUCGGAAUAACAGUUAGAAAUGACUGCUAAUACCGGAUGAUGACGUAAGUCCAAAGAUUUAUCGCCUGAGGAUGAGCCCGCGUAGGAUUAGCUAGUUGGUGUGGUAAGGGCGCACCAAGGCGACGAUCCUUAGCUGGUCUGAGAGGAUGAUCAGCCACACUGGGACUGAGACACGGCCCAGACUCCUACGGGAGGCAGCAGUGGGGAAUAUUGGACAAUGGGCGCAAGCCUGAUCCAGCAAUGCCGCGUGAGUGAUGAAGGCCUUAGGGUUGUAAAGCUCUUUUACCCGUGAUGAUAAUGACAGUAGCGGGAGAAUAAGCCCCGGCUAACUCCGUG